rnacentral:rRNA from 1 species
UACGGGGGGGGCAAGCGUUGUUCGGAAUUACUGGGCGUAAAGGGCUCGUAGGCGGCCAACUAAGUCAGACGUGAAAUCCCUCGGCUUAACCGGGGAACUGCGUCCGAUACUGGAUGGCUUGGAUUUGGGAGAGGGAUGCGGAAUUCCAGGUGUAGCGGUGAAAUGCGUAGAUAUCUGGAGGAACACCGGUGGCGAAGGCGGCAUCCUGGACCAAUACUGACGCUGAGGCGCGACAGCGUGGGGAGCAAACAGG